rnacentral:tRNA from 1 species
UGUCCAAUGAGGGAAUCGAACCCGGGUCCUAGUGGUCGAAAACCAAACGGUUUAACCAGCCUUCCACUGACCCACUAUUAAGAAUAAUUAAAC